rnacentral:rRNA from 1 species
UACGUAGGGGGCAAGCGUUGUCCGGAUUUAUUGGGCGUAAAGAGCGUGUAGGCGGCUUGGUAAGUCCGCUGUGAAAGUCCAGGGCUCAACCCUGGAAAGCCGGUGGAAACUGUCAAGCUUGAGUCCGGAAGAGGCGAGUGGAAUUCCUGGUGUAGCGGUGAAAUGCGCAGAUAUCAGGAGGAACACCAAUGGCGAAGGCAGCUCGCUGGGACGGUACUGACGCUGAGACGCGAAAGCGUGGGGAGCAAACAGG